GAGUGGAGAGCGACAGCGGGAGACCGCGUCGGGGGUCGUCCCGGGGGACGCGGACCCCGGGCAGAAGGCGGCUCCAGGCGGGUGGAGAGCCGAACGGUAUGCUGAAAAGACUGCAGAGAGCAGAGGAUGCAUUGAAACAGGAAGCCCCUGGGGUUUGGUGCCUACCAGAGUACUUUGCACAGACACGGUUAAUAAAUUAUUUUUGAUGGCA